rnacentral:rRNA from 1 species
AUGGCUAAAUUCUGGUGGGGGGGCUCACUGGAUAGAAAACCCCUUCACUGGAUUGCUUGGGAUAAGCUAGCUCCACCAAAAUUUAAGGGAGGGAUGGGAUUCCGCGACCUUAGACAAUUCAACCUGGCACUAUUAGGGAAACAUGGAUGGAGACUAAUGACAGAACCAAACUCCUUGUGCGCCAGAGUUCUGAAAGGCAGAUAUUUCCACAAUUCCGGUUUCAUGCAGGCCACUGUACCGAAGUCUGCUUCGGCCACAUGGUGGGCCAUCAUAGCUGGUUAUGAUGCACUCAAUGUGGGAGUAGUGAAAAGAGUUGGUGAUGGAUCUUCCAUUUUGGUAUUGGAUGACAAAUGGAUUCCAUCUACUGUGUCUAUGACACCAAUGUUCAGACCGGCCAACACCCAGGUUCAGUUGGUUAGCAACUUGAUUGACACCGAAAACAGGACUUGA